ensembl:lincRNA
GAAAUACAAAAAUAACUGAAAGGAAGAUAAAUAGUGUGCUUCAAGGAAAUGCACUAAGGAAAUGGACUUGAACAUGCAAAAAUCUCUGUGACUUGAUUCUCAGUAUAAAGCAAUUCAUAUCUUGUUUGGGGAAGAACUUUUCCCAUUCUUUUGGUGUUUUAACCAAAUCCACAUCUUUCCCUGGUGCUUUGUGGAGCAGAUCUACUUAAGCAAGUAACUGCUUUGAGUGCAGACCUCUCUGUAUUUACUACAGUGUCCAGGCUGGAAGAAGUUGAGUUCUAAAUGCACUGUCACCACCUGAAAAAGGGAUUUUGGCAAAGCCCCAUGUUAUAGAUUGAAUUGUAUACCUCCCCAACUUCAAAUGUCCUUAUCCCCAGUACCUCAGAAUGUGACCAUUCGGAGAUAAGUUCUUCAUAGAGGUGUGAAGUUAAAAUGAGGCCAUUAGACUGGGCCUGCAUCCAAUAUGACUUGUGUUCCUAUAAGAAGAGGGAAUUUGGCCACAGACACGCAUAGAGGGACGAUGAUGUGAAGAGACACAGGGAGAGGAUGGCCAAUGACAAGCCAGGGAGAGAGACCUGGAACAGAUUGUGCCUUCACUGCCCUCAGAAGAAACCAACCCUUCUUGACACAUUGAUUUCAAACUUCUAGCUUCCAGACCUGGGAGAUAAUACAUUUCUUUUGUUUAAGCCACCCAGUUGAUGAUGUUACGGUAGCCCUAGCAAACAAACAUCGCCCAUUCAGAAAGACAUAUUGUAUGCCGGAUAAGAGGGGGAAGAUGAAGAAAGGAAGAAAAUAAUGAGUUGGGGAGAGCUUGAUGAUCUCAAGCCUGUGAAUCGGCUUUCAUCAUUGGCACCAAAGACCCGCCACUCUCGGGUAAUAAAGGACACGAAGAUCAAUCCCGAGGGAGAAGACUCCAGUUCCAGAAUGUCCCUUUGUCCAGAAACAGCUGUGUGGAAUUCAAGACUAUCCAAGGAUGGAAAGAUCACAGGAUCUCUUUCUUUCAUUGUCUACUUGUUCGUCUGGGCACCACACUGUGCUUCUGCCAUCUACGGAGCUGCCCACCACCGUGAAGGCGUGAGGCCUUAGGUUAAAGAUUUAUUCUUUUCUGCAG